CUGUUUUCCCUUUUGUUCUGCUGAUGAUUGAGAUUUUUGAGAAAGAGCAGAAUGGGAUUUAGAAUGAGGUGAAGAAGAGUUGGAAGAAUUAGCAGAAUUAGAUGAGAUAGAAUGAGAGGGCUUAGAUUGAGAUGACUUCUUGGCUAGAGACUCUAGGUGACCCUUUUGCUUUUGAUCAUUUGUGGGACUGACCUUAGAGUUUUGAUCUCUUUUGAUUUCAGAACUGAACCUUUGCUUUCGGUUGGUUUCCUUCUCUGAACCGAACCUUUGCUUUCAGUUGGAGUUAUUCUCAGAACUGAACCUUUGCUUUCGGUUGGUUUCCUUCUCUGAACCGAACCUUUGCUUUCGGUUGGAGUUAUUCUCAGAACCGAACCUUUGCUUUCGGUUGUUGUGGCUCUCGUGCAUUUCAACAGGAUUUUUCUCAUACUUCAGGUUCUUGUCUUGAUGAGAGAAAUAAGCAUUCUGGGAUUGCCAGAACUGUUUUC
rnacentral:lncRNA from 1 species